CUGAAAACAAAUACUUAAUAUCUGAAUUCCUCGAUCUUUAUGCAACUUUGCCAUUUUUACUUCUGAUAAUGGGAGAACAAUUGAAAGACAUUGCUUUACUUCUCAUGUUUGUCUUUUUGCUUGUCUCUUGCUGCUAGAAUUGCAAUCUGUAUUCCAAGAUCUGCAGCUUCAUGAAAAAUGUCAGCUGGAUUUCACAGAUGCAGUGUUUGUGGGUGUACAUGAUGCUGUGCCUCCAAGGGGGUUUUCCAUGCCAACGGAACUGAUGUGGCUGUCAUCCAGGUUCCAUUCGAAGACCCCAUUGUUCCAAGAACUCCUUCAAAAGGCACCUGCACAGAGGGCAUCAGCUUUCAGUGGGGCAUCCAACCAUUCAACUACACGUGGGAGGUUGGCGUCGGACCUGACCUGGCUAUGCAUCGUAGGUACAUUAUGCUCUAUGAAAACCAGUGACCAUGGAUGUUUCUCUCCACCACCGGAUACAUCUGAGAGGGACGCCAAGACGCUGGAAGCUCAGCAUGCCUCUACCAAACGCUGCCUCGUCACAACUACUGAGCCCAUCUGCAAGACUAUGUAGGGUCACUACAUAUUGGUGUCGGUUGUGUUUCAGGUCCUCUUCAUUUCAGUUGCGCUGAGCAUCUGACUUCUCCACGCAUUUCAAUCUGAUUAUUGGAUGAUAUUGCAUCUGGUAUGUCACUUCUCUCCAGUGCCUUCCACAGAAGGGGUGAGGACUGACAACAAACUGUACUCUGGCCAUCAUUGGUGCAGAACCUCCCUCCUGGACUCCACCUGCAGGCCCCAAGAGACCGUUGACACCCACCAGGGUUCUAACUUUGGACUCUACACCUGUAAAACAAAGUCAUGGCAGGGUUCAAAGUCUCUAGGCUAGUAGUGGCUUUGUCCCAUAGUAUCUUUGGAUUAAAUUGAUUGGCAAUCCUUUCAGAUGGACUACCAGUGGUGAAUGGGAUUGUGUUCUACAAGCAAUACUCACCUGAAGACAGGCUUGUCAUCAGACAUCUUAUAGGUAUGGCUCUACAUUUCGUAACGCCUCUGAGUCUAACGUGCGCACUGAGUCUAACGUGAUUUGGAUUUGUCAAUAGAAACAUUGGAUAUCUGGUCCUAAAGGGGCUGCGCUACUAAGCAGUGUCCCACUCACCCCAUUGUAUGUUGAUGGGAUAUUUAAUUUACUUUCUGAAAGUCACAUUACAUUUUGUCAAUCUGGUGAAUGAGUGCUUUUGACUAGAACAAUCUUAAUGUGCUUUGGAAGUUUGGACUUUCAAUCUCAGGAUCUGAGGGAGACCCAGUCACACUCUCGCUGACCAGGUUCCAAUGAAAACUGAGUCUUCAGUAAACAGCUGGGUUCCAAAUGACCUGAUGGAAUUAACUUUAUUUUUUAAAUUCAGUUUAGCUUUGCCAGAGGCCAGACUCUCAUUGUGAUUCCUUGACUGACACGGACUAAAGUAUCCUGUUACAACAAUCUACUAAAUUAAUUUGGGUCCCCUGGCCACACCCAGCAAUUUAAACUAGCAUUGAAUCAAUACUUUCAUGUUAUUACUCUAUUUAAAAUUAAUAAAUUGUUGGCUCUUGAA